GAGAGCUUGCUCUCUGGAUCAGUGGCGAACGGGUGAGUAACACGUGAGCAAUCUGCCCUUGACUCUGGGAUAAGCGCUGGAAACGGCGUCUAAUACCGGAUACGAGCUGUGAAGGCAUCUUCAACAGCUGGAAAGAACUUCGGUCAAGGAUGAGCUCGCGGCCUAUCAGCUAGUUGGUGAGGUAAUGGCUCACCAAGGCGUCGACGGGUAGCCGGCCUGAGAGGGUGACCGGCCACACUGGGACUGAGACACGGCCCAGACUCCUACGGGAGGCAGCAGUGGGGAAUAUUGCACAAUGGGCGCAAGCCUGAUGCAGCAACGCCGCGUGAGGGACGACGGCCUUCGGGUUGUAAACCUCUUUUAGCAGGGAAGAAGCGAAAGUGACGGUACCUGCAGAAAAAGCACCGGCUAACUACGUGCCAGCAGCCGCGGUAAUACGUAGGGUGCAAGCGUUAUCCGGAAUUAUUGGGCGUAAAGAGCUCGUAGGCGGUUUGUCGCGUCUGCUGUGAAAACUGGGGGCUCAACCCCCAGCCUGCAGUGGGUACGGGCAGACUAGAGUGCGGUAGGGGAGAUUGGAAUUCCUGGUGUAGCGGUGGAAUGCGCAGAUAUCAGGAGGAACACCGAUGGCGAAGGCAGAUCUCUGGGCCGUAACUGACGCUGAGGA
rnacentral:rRNA from 1 species